rnacentral:rRNA from 1 species
CAGCAGCCGCGGGAAUACAGAGGGUGCGAGCGUUAAUCGGAUUUACUGGGCGUAAAGCGUGCGUAGGCGGCUUUUUAAGUCGGAUGUGAAAUCCCUGAGCUUAACUUAGGAAUUGCAUUUGAUACUGGGAAGCUAGAGUAUGGGAGAGGAUGGUAGAAUUCCAGGUGUAGCGGUGAAAUGCGUAGAGAUCUGGAGGAAUACCGAUGGCGAAGGCAGCCAUCUGGCCUAAUACUGACGCUGAGGUACGAAAGCAUGGGGAGCAAACAGGAUUAGAGACCCCCGUAGUCCCUGUCUCUUAUAC